rnacentral:rRNA from 1 species
UACAGAGGUCCCAAGCGUUGUUCGGAUUCACUGGGCGUAAAGGGUGCGCAGGCGGCCGCGCGCGUAGGGGGUGAAAUCUCCUGGCUCAACUGGGAGGGGGCUUCCUAGACGGCGCGGCUUGAGGCUCGGCGGGGGGCGCGGAAUUCCGGGUGGAGCGGUGAAAUGCGUAGAGAUCCGGAGGAACACCGACAGCGUAGGCAGCGCCCUGGACGAGUUCUGACGCUCAGGCACGAAAGCUGGGGGAGCAAACAGG